AUCAUAUUGUUUUUAAUAUUGUUUUAGUUAUUGUUUGCAAAACCAAAGCUGCUUAUUUAUUGACUUUUGAUACAUAUUACCUGAAUAAAGUUGUAAAUAAUAAAUCUACCAUAAGGAUCUCUCUGGUGAUUCCAAGAGUAGCAUCACCCCCAAAUGAGACGCUGGUUCAGCAAAUAGAGCCUACGGAAAAAUGUUCCUCCAAAUGUGAGUGGAACAUAUUGUUUAAAUUACUUAAUAUUUGUGCUCUUGCAUAUUGCGCUAUCUGUGAAUUUCUUUUCUUACACAAAACCAUCCCGAUACGAGCAAGCAAACUCUCAAGGAAGGGAAAGGGCUCCCUCUAGAGGUUCUAUCCCUGCAUAAAAGAGCAGUUCCAACAACAAUACCGUGGGUAUAACAGAAUGCAAAUUAAGAACGUACAAAUCAU